rnacentral:tRNA from 4 species
UUGGUCAAGUGGUUAAGACACCGCCCUUUCACGGCGGUAACACGGGUUCGAAUCCCGUACGGGUCA